CCUACGGGAGGCAGCAGUGGGGAAUUUUGGACAAUGGGCGCAAGCCUGAUCCAGCAAUGCCGCGUGAGUGAAGAAGGCCUUCGGGUUGUAAAGCUCUUUUGUCAGGGAAGAAACGGUGGGGGCUAAUAUCCUCCACUAAUGACGGUACCUGAAGAAUAAGCACCGGCUAACUACGUGCCAGCAGCCGCGGUAAUACGUAGGGUGCAAGCGUUAAUCGGAAUUACUGGGCGUAAAGCGUGCGCAGGCGGUUUUGUAAGUUUGUCGUGAAAUCCCCGGGCUCAACCUGGGAAUGGCGAUGAAGACUGCAAGGCUAGAAUCUGGCAGAGGGGGGUAGAAUUCCACGUGUAGCAGUGGAAUGCGUAGAGAUGUGGAGGAACACCGAUGGCGAAGGCAGCCCCCUGGGUCAAGAUUGACGCUCAUGCACGAAAGCGUGGGGAGCAAACAGGAUUAGAUACCCUGGUAGUCCACGCCCUAAACGAUGUCUACGUAGUUGUCGGGUUUUAAUUAACUUGGUAACGCAGCUAACGCGUGAAGUAGACCGCCUGGGGAAGUCGGUCGCAAGAUUAAAACUNAAAUGAAUUGACGNUGAGACGUGCCGACGACGACGACGAGGGAGGAGG
rnacentral:rRNA from 1 species